GGGGUAGUGGCUCAGUGGAAGUGUUUUUGCUUUGCAUGUAGAAUGUCCCAGGUUCAAUCCCCUGCAUCUCCA
rnacentral:tRNA from 1 species